rnacentral:lncRNA from 1 species
GACAGAAGCUCUAUAACUUAUGCAAAGAAUAUUCAUACUCCAAUGAUUAGUUCAUCUCUUCUAUCUAAGGAUGACCGAGAAUGUCUUCAUGAUCCUACUGAGUAAAAAAGCUUGGCUGGUGCUCUAUAAUAUGUUGUCCUAACUCGAUCUGAUAUUGCCUACAUUAUAAAUCAUAUAUGUUAGUUCAUGCAUGCACCCUUUACUGUUUGUUUGAUUGCAUUAAAAUGAAUUUUGCGAUAUUUAUGUGGUACCCUUGAUUAUGGGAUUAUUUUUUGACCGUCCGCUCGAAUUUCUUUAGUUGGUUAUGCCAAUGCUAACUGGGGGCUGGAUUUUGAUGAUCGCCAAUCUACAACAGGUUACUGUGUGUACUUUUGUUACACGUCGGUCUCUUGGUAUUCCAAGAAGCAACAAGUCAUCUCGAGGUCCACGGUUGAAGCUAGAUAUCAGAGUCUUACUGCCGCUACUAGUGAUGUUACUUGGUUGGUCUCGUUACUACAAGAGUUACAACUUCAAACUAUUGAUCCAUCUACUAUUUGGUGUGACAAUUCUAGUGCAGUUGCAGUAGCUACUAAUCUUGUUUUACAUUCCAAGUUCAAACAUGUCGAACUUGAUCUGUUCUUUUUGCACGAGAAAGUUGCUGAUGGUUCUAUUGUCGUUGGUGAAGUACCUGUGUGUGAUCAGGUUACUGACAUUCUUACCAAGCCGCUCUCUGUUUCGUCUUUUGCUCGGUUACAUAGUCUUUUUCGGGUCUUGCCUGUUAGGAAGAUGGGUGAAUGUUAGAAUAUAAAGAUGAAAAACUCUGUUAUUUUUAAGUUGUUAGUUUGUUAUUCAAUCAGUUAUGCUGUUAGCAAUAGUUACUAAAUAACAGUUAGCUCAUUCAUCUAUAAAUACCAUAGUUGUACUAUUCAAAUAGAUUAAGAAAUAAUACAGUACAAUUUUCAAUUCUAUUAUUUCUAUUUUUCAAUACUUAGUAUAAUUUAGCUUUUUACCUGAGAUUUCAACAUUGUUUAAAAAGUUCAAAAUAAACUUCAUCCCAUUUCUUUAUAUGUCCCUCCUUAUUUAGUUGGAAUAGAUUCUUUGGUGACACGUAUUAAUUGGUGCUUAAAACAAGAUGGAGCAAAAAAAGUUGAUAUUGCAACAAUUUAUGAAAUUGGAGGCAUGGGGAAGACAACCAUUGCUAAAGUCGUUUACAAUCAAAACAUCCAAAGGUUUGAAGGUUAUAGUUUCCUUGCUGAUGUUAGAGAAGCGAGUCAAGAGUGUGACGGUUUAGUUCGUUUGCAAAGACAACUUAUUUCAGAUAUCCUUAAAGGGAAAACACACAAAAUAUACAAUACAGAUAAUGGAAUUACUAGGAUCAAAGAAGUUGUAUGUUGUAGAAGGGUUCUUCUUAUUUUUUACGAUGUUGAUGAUGUGGAAAAAAAAUAAGAAAACUGAUAGGAACUCAAAUUCCUUUUCAUCUUGGAAGUAAAAUAAUCAUAACUAGAAGGCACCGAUGUUUACUGAAUACUCAUUUCAUAAGCCAAAUGUUUCAUUUGGAAGCAUCAUCCAAUUAUGGAGACUUAAUCGAGUCAUUUGAAGUGAAAGAAUUAGCUUCAAGUAAAUCCCUUCAACUUUUUAAUUGGCAUGCCUUUGGUUGCAAAUCAAUACCUGAAAGUUUUUAUGGAGUGUGCAAUAAAUUUAGUGAAAAACUGUGGUGGGCUUCCAUUAGCUCUUCAAGUUUUGGGCUCUUCAUUGUACAACAAAAGUAUGAGCUUAUGGAAAAGUGCAUUGAAGAAAUUAGAAGCAAUGCCUAAUAGAAAAAUUCAAAAGAUUUUAAGGAUAAGUUAUGAUUCUUUGAAAAACGAUCAUGACAAAAAUUUAUUCCUUGACAAAGCUUGUUUAUUUAUUGGGAAAGAUAGAAAUUACACGACUACAAUUCUAGAUGGUUGUAAUUUUUAUACAACAAUCGGAAUUGAAAAUCUAAUAGGUAGGUCUCUCCUAACUAUUAAUGAAAAAAACAAGCUAAUGAUGCAUCAAAUGAUCAGAUAUAUAGGAUGAGAAAUUAUUCGUCAAGAAUAUCCUGAUAUUGGAAAAUGAAAUAGGUUAUGGCAUAAAGACGCAUUUGAUGUAAUAAGAGAAAAAGCGGUAAGAAACUUCCUUUAUUUUUUUCUUAUUUAUAUGUAUCUAAAUUUUAUUAAAUUGUUAUUGUUUCUAAUACAGGGUUUAAAAAUAAUCAAGUGCCUCAUCCUCAACUUACGAGGAUCAUUGGAAAGCAAGUCUAAAAGGACAACUACAAGUCUACAUUUUCCAAAGCAUUCUAAAAUUCAGUUUCUCGAUGACGGUAUGCAAACUCAAUCAUUUGCAAAGAUGAAGAUACUUAAAUUGCAUCAGUUGGAUUAUGUAAAACUUAAAGGAGACUUCAAAGACUUUCUGAUAAGCUUAAUAUGGAUAUGUUCGCAUGGAUUUUUUAAGCAAUCUCUUCCGGUAAAUUUUGAUAUCAAAAGACUAGUUGUUCUUGAUAUUUGCAACAAUAACCUUAAACAGGUUUGGAAGGAUAAAGAGGUAUGUUACCUACUAAUUUCCCCUUUUUUGGGGUUUGAAACCAUAAUACAUUUUGUAGAAGAAGACAGUUUUCUUUUUCCUCGUUUUUGCAAUGUCUCUCAAAUUUAAAGAUACUUAAUUUCAACCAUUCACAUAGCCUUAUCAAAACCCCAAACUUUUCAGGACUUCUAGUCUUUAGAAGUUGAUGCUCAAAGACUGCAUAAAAUUGGUGAAGGUUGACCAGUCCAUUGGUGAGCUAAAGAUGCUUACUUUCUCUAACCUUAAAGAUUGUAAAAGUCUUAGGAAACUUUCUAGGAGAAUUGGUUCAUUAAUAUCAAUUGAAGAGCUUAAUUUAUCUAGUUGUUCAAGACUUGAUGAUGUUCCCAGGGAGCUGUGUAAUAUGAAAUCAUUAAAGGUACUUAAUUUAGAUGAAACUGCCAUAUAUCAAGCUAGAUUGUGGUUUCCCUGGCUUUUAUCAAAAAGAAGCAAAGAAUUGGAUUUCUCUUUGGCAUUUUUACUGUGCUCUUUGGUAAAAUUAAGUCUUGAAAGUUGCAGAUUAUAUGAAGAUGUCAUUCCCGAUAAUCUUUGGAAUUUAGAUUCCCUGAAGUCAUUAAAUUUAAGUAGAAACCCAAUUCAUUGCUUGCCUAGAAGUAUAAAAAACCUUAAAAAACUUGAUGAACUUCUAUUGACUUUUUGCACUGCACUCCAAAUGAUUCCAAAGCUUCCAGUGUUGUUAAAUUUUGCUAAGACAUUUGUGUCAAUAAAGAGCAACAUAAUAGUUCAUCGUUCAAAUAUUCUGCAUUGUUUUUUUAAUUCCAAAUGUUGUGUUAUUUUUGGAUGUGAAAGAUUAACUGAAGUUCAAGGUAUAUUCGAGUUGGAACCAAUUGAAAACUUUGAAGCUGAAGAGAUUAAAUGAUUAUUCGACGUGGGCUCUAUUGACAGAAAUCAAGCUCAAGUUUAUAACUUUCUAACAGACAGAACAAUGCUUUAUACCCUACAGGUCCAAUAUAAGUUAAAGUUUAUGUCCAUUUUUUCCCUUAAUCUUAUUUAAUCAAAACAUCUGUAAUUAUCUUAUAAUUUUUAUGGAUCAGGUGUUGCAGGAAUGUCGUAUAACUAGCACCUUUGUUGUAGGAAGUGAAGUUCCAAUUGGGUUUAAGCAUUGCACUAACGAGCAUUAGAUAUCUUCUUCUUUUUUUUGCCAACACCAUCUCAUCUAGAAGAAAAGAUCCAUACUUCAAUUUCUGCAUCGUUUUUUCAAUUCUUAGUGAUCAAAUAAUGGAAUUUGCACCAAGUGUGAGGAUUUGUAAUGAGACAAAAAGGAUCAUGUGGAUUCAUCGCUCAUGUUUCAUUGGAAUUCCUAAGACUAAGGAUAACACAUUGUUAUGGUUAAUCCAUUGGCCAGCAAUGGAUUUUCAGCUAGAUGGUGGUGACCUUCUGUUAAGGUUCAUGUGUAUCAGCUUAAGGAGGUUAGAGUAGUUAGUCAGUUAGUAACAGAAGCAGUUUAUAUCAACUACUAAUCUGUUGAGAGUAGUUGUCCAACAAGUCUAUAUAUACAAUGCUAUCAAUGUGUAAAGUUGAGUAUGUUGAAAUACAGAGAAUUCAGUUCAGUUUAUAUCCAGUUAUUUCUUUCUAAAAUUUAGAGUGUAUUACCUAUUUUCUUUCAUGGUAUCAGUCGCUUUGUGAUCCUCGGAGCUAUGGCUAACUCGAAUUUCGCUGAUUCUUCCUUGGUUGAUGGUGGUUGGGCUGUUUUCACUGAUGAUAGUGUUGUGAACUCGUUCCCUCGGCAUGAGAUUGUAAAGCUUGAUUAAGGAACCUUCUUCCAAUGGAAACAACAGGUACGGUUAAUCCUGUGUGGCUAUGAUUUGAUAAGAUUUCUAGACAGUACCUUAUUUCUACCAGUGAAGUUCAUUCAAUCUCCAGACGGUUCUCUUGCUCCUAAUCCGUCCGUGCUGAUCUUUAUGUAACAAGAUCAUUUCCUCACUUCGUGGUUGCUGUCCACGAUACAUGGUUCUUUGCUGUCCUCCUUCACGGAGGCUAGGACGGCUUGCAAUGUGCGGACUAUAGCGAUGAGUCUUUUCGUGGCCUACACUAGUACUAAACAAUCUCAGAUUCGUCAUGACCUUCAUUCUCUCAAGAAAUGUAUGCUUUCAAUCAAAGAUUACGUUACUCGUAUAAAGAAUCUUUGUGCGCUCUUGGAAGCCUCAGGUACUCAGAUUUCUGAGGCAGAGAAGACGGGCAUUCUGACUACCGGUCUACCUACUGAAUUUGAUGCUGUCGUUUCCUCAGUGUUUAUCUCGUCCGGGCUGGUACCAUUUCAAAGGCUCGUUGAUGCUCUACUUGCAUUUGAGAAUCGUCAAUUACAAGUGGUUCAGGAGGUGAUUCUACAUGCCAACCUCGUGGAGGCAGGUUCGUCAUGCGCACCUGAGGUCUCCAUCCGUGGUGGUUGUCUUCCGUCCGGUGGCCGUGGGUUAAAGUUCCGUCCGCACAUUCAAUGUCAGAUCUGUAAUAGAUUCGGGCAUCUUGCUCAGCGGUGCUAUUACCAUUUUCACAGUGAUUUUGGUGGCUCGUCCGUGAUGGAUCGGGUGUCGCGAAGUGGUGAUGAGCCUACUCUGGCAUUGGGCAGUGGUCCAGGUCCGAUGGCCUAUGCGCCGAACGUAGAUUUUGCUGAAAAUGGUGGCCCUCUCAACGUAUGCGGUUCUCUUAUGGUCAAAAUUCAGCUGGUUAAAAUCAGCCUGGUCAAAAUUGGUGUCCAGUUGGUGAUGUGUAUGAGUUUCAAGAUGGGUCAGAUGUCCCACGUUUUACUCGGCCUAGGAGUGUGUUUCGUGGGCCAUAUAGGCCGACUUUCAACAUGGCUAAUGAGCCAUUUGGGCCUGCAAAUUUCAAGUUUAAUAGACCAGUUUUCA